ACAUGUGCCAUGUUGGUAUGCUGCACCCAUUAACUCGUCAUUUAGCAUUAGGUAUAUCUCCUAAUGCUAUCCCUCCCCCCCGUCAUCAAUGCUGAGAAUGAUGGUUUCCAGCUUCAUCCAAGUCCCUACAAAGGACAUGAACUCAUCAUUUUUUAUGGCUGCAUAGUAUUCCAUGGUGUAUAUGUAUGUGCCACAUUUUCUUAAUCCAGCCUAUUAUUGAUGGAUAUUUGGGUUGAAGAACCCAAGAUUCUAAUGCAAAGGCCUGGUAAAAGCUGAACUGGAGGUGGUGAGCCCAUGUCAAAGUGAAGGCUCCUCUCUCCAAUCCUUCUAAAUUUGGAAGGGGCACUCUCGGGGCCAGAGAGCUGAGCAGAUCUUGAAAGGAUCUUUGGCUGAGUUUACCAAUUUCAAAAAUGUAUGUGUCUGCUUACCUACAGCAAUGGGAAAGGAAGAUGAUGCAGGGGGCUAUGCCAAGCAUUAGUGCUGGCCUUCAGUGCUUCCUGUGAUGUAACCCUGCUAUCAAGGGUGGCUCUAUCAGUGAUAAGUGGCUGACCAACACAAUCUGUAAAUCCUUCUUCCUUUGGGAGGAACUAGCAAGGGAGAAGAAAGGGAAGCCAGAAGUCUCGGGGUAGAAGUUCCCAAUUGUAUAGGUCAAGAUUAAAAGAUGAGACAGGGAACAGAAACAUUUCCUCUUUUUUCAACACAAAAUAGGCAAGGAGGUUAUUAUUAUCACAUGAUCCCCACUUUAUAGAUGAAGAAAAGAAAGAACAGAAACAUUAAAUGAUGUAGUUAUCAUCACAAAGCUGGUGAGUAUACAUAUCGGUCUGCAGGUGCCUCUUUCUUAGUUAGUGGUGCUGGUGGUGAGAAGAUGACCACCAUGCUAAACCCCCAGUUCCUGUGCCACCACCUGCUCAACUGCUGCCUGCAGCUGCCACUCGGUGGGGUUCCUAAAAUAGCCAUAGACAAGGAGUUCUAGCAGAGCACUCCACCUGUUUCUAGAUAGGCUCUUGCUCUCAAGCCUGGUCUGCUAUCCAGGUGAACUGUGAGGGGUAGGGGUGGGGGCACGUGUGAGCUAGACUAGGGGUUAGACUGGAGAUGAGCCCACUCCCUGCGUCCUUUCCUGGAGUCUCAUCCUGUGCUAACUGAGCCGCCAAGCCGUUUCCGCUCCAAGACCAGAGAAAGGAAAGGAAAGAGCCUUCUCUCCUGAGGAAAUGUGCGGCUCUGGAGCGAAUGCCAUCCAGUUCCUGACUCAGCACCCUGAUUUCCAUCUGGGCGUUCACCCCUCCCUCACACAACCCCUGUGCUGGAAGGGAAGCUGACUUCACACCCAGUUCCAAGAAUGGGGCUUGACUGACUUAAGGCUAUCGACACGGCCACCCCACCCCACGAGUGGCCAGGGAUGGACAUAGAACCUAAUUAGUGUUACUCAAAGACAAAGGCACAUUUCCUUGAGGAUCCUGGAGAAAACGACUUCAUUCUUCCUUAGAAGCUACUUGAGGGACAUUCUCGUCUCUUUGGAUAUGAGCAAGGACAUCGCAGCGCUGAAAGCUACUUGCAGCCAUCUUGUGGCCACUUGGAGAAAAUACAUGUUGUGUAACGCAGAGAGGAGAAAUGAAAAGCCUCCGGGGUCUUUGCUGCCCUUGAGUUGCUGAAUCAAGUCUUGACUGAAGCCUGAUAUCUUUAGGCUUUUCAGAAUGAAAUGGUAUGGAACAGUGUAAUGAGCAAUAGAAAUAUGGAACCAAGAAGCAAUUAUAUCUUCAAAGGAGCAAAAUGAGAGCAAAUAAAAGGCCUUGCACAAGUUAGCAUACAAACAGGCAGAUCAGAACAUCAUUUACAGAGUCCAAAUACAUGCCUGUUGGUUAUAUCUGUAAAUUAUCUUUCACAAACAUCAUGUUAUAUCUCUGGAGACUCAUUUCUGGGUUAUAAUAAAAAUCAGAUUUCUCAAGAGGCCCUAAAACAUCUCAAAUUCAGUUUUGACACUAUUGAGUACCUCUAAUCUGUAGUCAUUGUGCCGGGCACUAGGGAAGCAAGAUAAAUUGGGCAUAGUGUCUACCUUCUAAGUGCUUACAGUCUAGUUAAGAAGACAGAGCUAUGCGCAAAUAACUAUAAUGUAAUAUGUGCUGGGUAACAGAAAAUGGCACAUUUAAUUCUAAUAAAUUCACAUUUAUUUGAAACGAUAGGAGAAAGUUUUACAAGGAGAUAGAACCGAAGCCAUGCAGUGCAAGAAAAGCUGGGACCAGCUAGACUGUAUGGAGGCUAAGUCUUCAAUCAUUCUCUGACAAAAGUGCCCAAGAGCUCCUUCAGGGUAGAUGGGAAUCAGAAUUCAGCUCCCUGCCUGAAACUUGGGACAGAGCCAAAGGUCUCCACAAGUGAACUGGGGCUAAGACAGCUCUAAGUUGUCAGAAUCUUUCUACUUGGAGGAAUAGAGAGCAAUGAUUCUUUUUUUUUUUUUUUUUUUUUUUUUUUUGAGAUGGAGUCUCACUCUGUUGCCCAGGCUGGAGUGCAGUGGCAUGAUCUGGCUCACUGUAACCUCUGCCUCCCGGGUUCAAACAAUUCUCCUGCCUCAGCCUCUUGAGUAGCUGGGAUUACAGGUGCCUGCCACCACACCCAGCUAAUUUCUUUCUUUCUUUUCUUUUUUUUUUUUUUUUUGUAGUUUUAGUAGAGGUGGGGUUUAAUCAUGUUGGCCAGGCUGGUCUUAAACUCCUGACCUCAGGUGACCCCCCUGCCUCAGCCUCCCAAAGUGCUGGAAUUACAGGUGUAAGCCCACCAUACCUGGCCAGAAAGCAAUGAUUCUCAUAUAAAAACAGGAAUUGGACCUUUGCUGUGCAUAAGUAUUAUAUCCAAAAAUGGUGCUAUAUAAUAGAGCAAAAUGCCUAAAUCCUUAUUUGAAGAUCUGGUUCAAAACUGUACAUCUCAGACAACCAGACUGAGGUAACAAUGAAACCAUGCAACAGGAAGGGGAAAACAUGAAAAAAAUUCCUAUUCAUGAUCAGUUUUCAUACAAAAAUUACAAAGCACAUAAUGACAUACAUAAUAAUGAGAGCUGAUUGGCAAAUCCAAUAAAUAGAAUAAAUCACACCUAAGGAAAUAGAAAUAAUGGAGAACGUACCAAGGUGUUUAACACAAGUUUGUUUACAAUCCUCAAAGAGAUAAAGAAAUAGCAUUCUUUUUUGGCAUGAGGGGUCUGUCUCUCCAUUUAUUUCUAAUAAUGUUUAGUUCAUAUAUCUGGGUAGAAUAGCAUUCUUACAAUAAACUGACAAUAAGUCAUUAAUGAAGGCAUAUAUAAAAACUGAACUAAAAAUUAUUGAAAUUACAAAAUUGAGUAAAAAACUUAGUAUAUAUAAUUAAAUAGGCAAGAUAAGGUAAAAGAAAAUCAGCAUAUUGGAAAAGAAAACUAAAUAAAUUUGAUGGAAGCUGAGUAAAUACCAAUUCAAUUUUCUCUUCUUGGGCACAUAAGAAAAUCAUAUUUUCUGGAUGUCCUUGUAAUGAGAUUGGGGUCAUGUGAUUGGAAUAUGGAUGAAAGUAAUGCAUAUAGCUUUUAGUUCUGGCCACAAAACAUCCUGGGUGAUCAUCUCCUUCUUUGGAGGUCAUGAAGACCACAGGUUGAUGAUGGUAGCAUCACAAGGUGAAAGGAAGUUAAAUCUCUGAGCCAUGAGAGGAAAUGUUUCCAAAGAGCCCCCAGUCUACGUCAAACUGUGGCAUAGGCAAGAAAUAAACUUUGAAUGAUGUAAAACAAGAUAACUACAUAGAAAAAUGAAAAUGAAGUUAUAGAAGAUCAACUGAGAAGCUCCAACAUAUGUAUAAUUGUUGCUCCUGAUAGAGAGGAUAGUUAAAAUGGGGAGAGAAAAUACUAUAAGGGAUAAGGGACUGAGAAACUUCCAGAAAUAAAAAAAGACAUAAAUCCCUAGAUUUUUUUUUGAAGUCAUUCAGUAAUCUGGUUUACUUGAAGUAGUAAAAUUUCACCAAAAUUAUUCUAACAAACAAAUUGACCAAAAUUUAGAAAUACAUUGUAAUUUUUUAUAACCAUUCAUUCAUUCAUUCAUACAAAAUAUAUUUUUAAGAACUCACUAUGCAUCAUGUGUCUUCUUAGAAACUUAGAGUUUAUAAUCUAGUGGGAAAUCAGAAAGUCACUGGCAAUUAGUAUGGAGAGCAUAAUAUAGAGAAAGGAGAGAUUGAGGGCAUUAUGACAUAAAAUGACAUAAUACAGUCAAAAAGAUAAUCAAUUAGGGUUAGAGUGAAGGAGUGAAGGAAACACGUGAGCAAGUAACUGGAGGUAAUACUAGAAUAGUAGGCAAGGGACAAAUUCUGAACUGACAAAUUUGAAAAAUAGCUUGAAACCUUAGAAGCAACAUGCUAACUGGAUGAUUUUAAGCAUAGGAUUUUUUUUUUUUUUUUUUUUUUUUUUGGCGAGGGGAUGGAGUCUUGCUCUGUUGCCCAGACUGGAGUGCAAUGGUGCAAUCUCAGCUCACUGCAACCUCUGCCCCACAGGUAUAAGCGAUUCUCCUGCCUCAGCCCCCCAAGUGGCUAGAAUUACAGGCAUGUACCACUAGGCCCAGCUAAUUUUUGUAUUUUUAGUAGAGACAGGGUUUCACCAUGUUGGCGAGGCUGGUUUUGAACUCCUGACCUCAAGUGAUCCACCUGCCUUGGCCUCUCAAAGUGCUGGGAUUACAGGCGUGAGUCACUGUGUCUGUCCACAGGAAAAUAUUUUUAUUUUUGUUUUUGUUUCUAAAUUUUCUAUUUCCAUAGUUUUUGGGGGGAACAAGUGGUAUUUGGUUACAUGAAUAAGUUCUUUAGGGGUGAUUUGUGAGAAUUUGGUGCACGCAUCACCCAAGCAGUAUACACUGAACCCAGUUUCAGGUCUUUUAUCCCUCACCCCCUUCCCACCCUUUUGCCCUGAGUCCCUUAAGUCCACUGUAUCAUUUUAAUGUCUUUGCAUCCUCAUAGCUUAGCUCCCACUUAUGAGUGAGAACAUGUGAUGUUUGGUUUUCCAUUCCUGAGUUACUUGACUUAGAAUAAUAGCCUCCAAUCCCAUCCAGGUUGCUGCAAAUGCCAUUAAUUCAUUCCUGAAAAAGGUUUUUCUAAAAACAAAUCUCUGUCCCACUCACCUAUCAGAAAUACCAGCACAGCUCUAAGGAUCCCUGGAUUUUGACUUGGACAAAGCAUUUUGCAUACCUCUCCUAAGUACACACACAAGAGAAGAAGCAUCUUAGCCAGGUAGCACCAUUGCUGUGAUUCAUUUCUCUUAUUCAUGACAUCCUGCCUUCCUUACCAGCUCAGAACUUCUCUUGCUAUUGCUCUAUGACCAGGCUUUUAUUGAGACAAGUAGAAAAAUGCAUAAAAUGCAAAACUGAAAAAGAAAAAUGGAGAGAAAUGAGCCAAAAAAUGGGACAGAGUAUAGGGCUAUGGUGGGAAGAAUAUCUAAGAGGCAGGAAAAGGGGUUAGGUGUAGGGUGGCUGGGCCAUGAGGAGUCAGAGACAGUCAGGUACUUGGGGAAGAAAAGUUUUAAAGACAGAAAAAAAAAUCUUCUGUUGUGAGGAAUGGGACUGCAGAGAGAUUUUAAAAGUGAAUUUAUUUUUAGAGAUAAAGUCUUGGUAUGUUGCUCCAGCUGGUCUUGAACUCCUGGGCUCAAGCAAUCCUCCCACCCUGGCCUCCCAAAGUGCUGGAAUUACAGGUGUGAGCCACUGCAUCUGGCCUAAAAAGUGAAUGCUUAGGAAAUCUUUCUCUGAGUUGUACAACAUGACACAUUACUGCCUCAUGACACCUCAGAAAAAACCAGUGUUACCUUUCAAUGCUUUUGGAUUCAGAUUUUUAUUUCAUUUGAAAGUAAUAUUGGCCACAAGAGAGCCUAGUUUUACUUGGGUUACAUAUUCAUACACUGUUUCCUAAUAGUGAAAGUCCCAGGCACACAGUCUCCAUGAUUGGAAAAGAAGCCUAUUGCUGCGUGAGGAAGGAGAAUGAGCAGCCUGCAGCCGCUCACAAGCAGUCAGUACCUAAAGAAGGAAGAGCACUGGGUGGUGUGGGGUUAAUGGAGACAAAUUUCAGCCACUUCAUCAUUUUGAUCAGAUCCAUUCUUGUUGUACAAAUGGCCACAAGGCCUUGGAGAAAUUAGAUGACACCUGCAUGAUAUAAAUCGUGGUCAAGGGAGAAUUUGUUAAAUGGUGAAAAUGUUACCAGCCGUGCUGGGCUGUACUAAGACUGUAAUUCUCCUUAGCUGCAUCCUUGGAACAUGGAGGGAGUGGAGGAAUGGCCCUUGGGGAGGGUAAGUUACUUUAGAAGUUCUGAGGGUGGGGAAGGAGGUUGGUUUUUCAGAUGAAAUAAUCGGAGCAAUGCCAGGCAGGUAGGCCAGGAGGGAAAAGUGUGCAGAGCUGGUUCUUUAUUCAUCUUGCAUGGGGGGAUUGAGACAAAUGGCAAGCAUUCCCUCUGGCAGAAAGAGAAUUUGUAUAUAGGCAGCAGUCGUACCUUCUCCAGAGAUGUUGGCCUUUCUGUUUCUGGAAAGAUCUGACAAGUUGCUCUGAAGUAUGGAAAUGGCUCUCACUGGAGACAUUCUAGAGUCUCCUUCCAGCCACAGACAUUCUAAGCUGGCUCCCCUAAUCUCCUGUGACCAUUUGAAGGACUCAGGUGAGGAUUGUAAGCAGCUCAAGAUGUGAAUGGCGACAGUGUUUUUUGAGAACCAAGUGCAGUUUUGUUCAGAAUCAAAAUAUCUAGGCCACAAAGAGGGCUUUGAUUCUCAGUUCCCUAGGAGCGGGAAGGAGCUCUCUGGUCGGAGGAAUUAUGGAUGUCCUUGUACCUAAGGUGAUAUUUCUUUUUAUGCACAUUCAUUCCCUGAGCACACAGCCAUUUCCUCCAGGUUGAGCAGCCCGGGCACACUGUCAGCAGGAUAAUGGUAGAAAACUCAAUGGCUAGAGCUUUGGCCUUUUCCAAGUACCCAACAUUGACCUCAAAGAAUGUGAGGAAUGAUGAUUGAGGUGUAUUCCCUAUAGAGAAUUCUCUCAUGCUACACAGGACCUUCUAGAUCCUGGGUGGUUGAGGCACAAUGGUACUCUUCCUGACAUCACCAGAUACCAGGCUGCUACCUGAAAGGCUCUCACACCCCAAAGCCAAGUCUGGGUCCUCCCUGGGUCCCAGCCUUGUCACUCUACUGCUGGGGAGCCUCUGCCAAGGCUCUGCAGUGCCUCUGCCAUGCCCUGCACGUAGGUCCAAUUUGGACAAUUCACUUGCCAAGCCCAAGUACCAACCUUCCUUGUUUUACCCACAAACAGAAAAUCCCUCCUUCCUCACAAUCGCUUUGACCAUUCGCCUUUUCAAACUAAUGAGGAAAUUCAGUCCUCUAGGGGAUAUGCAUAAGAGGUCUUGCCAUCAACUCUGCCUCCUCCUAGAAGCCACUCCUCCUUCCUCUCUCACCAGUUGGGCCAAUUGUCACUCUCAGUGGUUGAUUGGUCCAUUAUGCUGAGGUCUUGUGGUUUUUUUUUCUAAACAUUUCUCCAAAAGGGCUUAAAUCCACAGGCAGAAUAACACAGCAAUUAAGCAUGUGGACUUCUAGGCUAUGUGAAAAUCUUGCUACCACUACUAGCUAUGUUACUAUAGGCAAGUUUCAUGAUAUCACUGCUAAGCCUUGGUUUCUCCAUCCAUAAAGCAGGAGUAAUAAUAACAGCACAUAAUUCAGAGAAUUCUUGUGAGCACUGAAUGAGAAAAUUGCAUGUGGAAAACUGCAUGGUAAGAUCUCCAUGUUCAUCUGCUGUUGGCAUUAUUUCUUGUUGUAUGCCAACUCCUCAAGGACCCCACACUGUAGUCACCAGACUCUGGUGGAAGAAGACAUAAAUUACCAACUGUCAUUCAGGGUAAUAAAUGUUAUAAUAGAAAUACAGUCAAUUUUCAUUAUUCAUGGACUCUGGAUUUGCUGAUCUGCCUGCUUACUAAAAUUUGUAACCUCCAAAUCGACACUUGCAUCACGGUUGUGGUCACCUAUGGGCAUGUGGAGUGGUGAAACAUCUGAGUUGCCCAGCACGCAUAUUCUCAGCUGAGGUCGAACAAGGCAAUGCUCUGUCUUUCUGUUUCAGUUCUCAUACUAUAAACAAAUGUCCCUUUCAUGGUCUGUUUGGUGCCAUGUUUUUUUGUUUGUUUGUUUUUAAUUUUUGUGCUUUUGAUUGGUUGUUUCACUGUUUAAAAUGACCCCAAAGCAUAGUGAAGUGCUGUCUUCUGUUCCUAAGCACAAGAUGGCUGUGAUGUGCCUUAGAGGGAAAAUAUGCGUGUUAGACAAGCGUCAUGCAGGGUAAGUCAUAAUGCUGUUGGCCAAGAGUUCAAAAUCAAUGAAUAACAAUAUAUAGUAAAUAAGGUGUUUUUAAAACAGAAAACAAAGUUAUGCAUUGGUCAGUUGAUGAAAAUGUAACCAGAAGCUGGCAGGAAACUGACCCUGCAAUUUUCCUAGGAGCAGCGGAUCCAUAUUUACUAAUUCAGUAUUGUGAUUAUUUUAUAGAAUGUAAUGACCACAAUAACAAGAAACAAUUAUACAUGGAAAGAACCCACACGAGGGUCUAUCAGCUCUGCCAGAGGCAGGGACUUCUCAGCAGAGGGACUUCUGAAUUGACUUGGCAAAGGACCCCAAGGCUAGGGCUGGGUCCCCUCCGGGUGCCAGCCUUGUCCCUCUGCUGCUGGGGAGCCUCCACCAAGGCCCUGCAGUGCCUCUGCCACUGCCUCAGGCAGUUAGGUCCAAGUAGAAAAAUUCAUUUGCCAAGGCUAAGUACACACCUUACUUGUUUCAUCUGUAAACAGAAAAUCCUUCCUCCCAUACAAUGGUUUUGACCGUUUACCUUCCUGGUGGAUCCAGGACGGGGGUGACAUGUGCAAAGCCCGAAGGCCUGGGGGGCACAUUUGUCAACCACUGAGAUAGAUGCCCAAAGACAGCCCAUGGUUCUUUCAUUUAACAAGUAUUUACUGAACACAUUCUAAGUGUCAGGCAUGUAUGAAUGAGGGCUGAGAGUGAGGGGCAGAAGUAGGUGGGGCCAUUGAGACAGGCCCUGGAUGCCAUGCUAAGGGGUCUGAACUUGAUCCCAUGUGCCACGGAGAGUCACCAAAGGCUUACAGGCAGGAGUAUGGAAUGAGCAAAUGUGGCCAGGAAGCAAAAGGCUUAGGUAAAACUAAACAUUUUCUUUUUUUUCUUUAUUUCUUCUAAAAAAAAAAUGAGCAUACAUGCGCAGAACGUGGAGGUUUGUUACAUAGGUAUAUAUACGUGUGCCAUGGUGGUUUGCUGCACCUAUUGACCCAUCCUCUAAGUUCCCUCCCCACACCCUCCCACCCCCCAACAGGCCCUGGUGUGUGUUGCUCCCCUUUCUGUGUCCAUGUUAAACAUUUUCUUUCAGGACACGAACAGACACUUUUCAAAAGAAGACAGACAUGCAGUCAACAAGCAUAUGAAAAAAAAAAGCUCAAUGUUAUCAAUCAUUAAAGAAAUGCAAGUCGAAACCACAAUGAGAUACCAUCUCACACCAGUCAGAAUAGCUAUUACUAAAAAGUCAAAAAAUAACAGAUGCUGGCGAGGUUGCAAAGAAAACGGGAUGCUUAUGCACUGUUGGUGGGAGUGUAAAUUAGUUCAGCCAUUGUAGAAGGCAGUGUGACAAUUCCUCAAAGAGCUAAAAACAGAAAUACUGCUUGACCCAGAAAUUCCAUUACUAGGUAUAUACCCAAAGGAAUAUAAAUCAUUCUACCAUAAAGACAUGCAUGAGAAUGUUCAUUGCAGCAGUAUUCACAAUAGCAAAGACAGGGAACCAACCUAAAUGCCCAUCAAUGACAAAUUGGAUAAAGAAAACAUGGUACAUAUAUACCAUGGAAUACUAUGCAGUCAUAAAAAAGAAUAAGAUCAUAUCCCUUGCACGAACAUGGAAGGAGCUGGAGAACAUUAUCCUUAACAAGCUAACACAAGAACAGAAAACCAAAUACCGCAAGUUCUCACUUAUAAGUGGGAGUUAAAUGAUGAGAACACAUGGACACAAUGAGAGGAACAACACACACUGGGGCCUACUUGAAGGUGGAGGGUGGGAGGAGGGAGAGGAUCAGAAAAAAUAACUUUUUUUUUCUUUAGAGACCAAGUUUUGCUCUUGUCACCCAGGCUGAGUGCAAUGGAGCGAUUUCAGCUCACUGCAACCUCCGCCUCCCGGGUUCAAGAGAUUCUCCUGCCUCAGCCUCCCAAUUAGCUGGAAUUACAGGCAUGCGCCACCACACAGAACUAAUUUUUGUAUUUUUACUAGAGACAGGGUUUCACCAUGUUGGUCAGGCUGGUCUCAAACUCUUGACCUCAAGUGACCCACCUGCCUCAGCCUCCCAAAGUGCUGGGAUUACAGGCAUAAGCCACCGUACCUGGCCAGAAAAAAAUAACUAUUUAGUACUAGGCUUAGUACUUGGGUAACAAAAUAAUCUGCACAACAAAUCCUUGUGACAUGAGUUUACCUAAAUAAUAAACCUGCACAUCAGAAAAAAUAACUAUUGGGUACCAGGCUUAUUACUAAGGUGAUGAAAUAAUCUGUACAACAAAUCCCUAUGACAUGGGUUUACCUAAAUAACAAACCUGCACAUAUACCACUGAACCUAAAAUAAAAGUUUAAAAAAAUGUUUUUUAAAAAACAUUUUCUUUCAGUUAACCGUUAGAAUAAGCAACCCAAAGAAGCUAUGUGUUCCCUCCCUGAAACUAUUGAAGGACAAUAGAGGUCUCUGUUUCUCAAGGCCAGAAUUUGUUACAUCUCUCCUUAACCACCUUCAAGGGCCUUUCAUUGUGCUUGGAAUUAAGUACAAACAGCUUCAGUCUUUCUCACUCAGCUUUUGUUUCUCUCUUUAGUCCACCUGUAGCCAGUCAUCUCCUCACUAGCCUCUGUAGACCAGCCACAUGGAACUUCCUUCGUGUCUUCAAAUGAGCCAUGCUCUCUCUUGUCCCCAAGUCUUUGUUGCAUUUUGUCUGGAAUAUAGAUCCCCCUCUCCCAACCCUUACCUGCAACAUGCACCUUGCUAAUUCUUCAUCCUCUAGUUCUCAGCUUGAAACUCGCUUUCUCCAGGAAAUCAUACCUACAUGUGUUUCUAUAUGACCCUUUUCAUACUGAAUUGUUUUGCUUGAUUUUAUUGUCCAUCUUUGCUGUGGUAGUCAGUUCCAGCUGCUCUAAUAUAACACCAUAGACUGUGUGGUUUAAACCACAGAGUUAUUUCUUAGAGUUCUGGAGCCUGGGAAGUCUGAGAUCAAGGUCCCAGCAGAUCUGGUGCCUGUCGAAAGUCCUCUUCCUGGUUUGCAGAUGACCCUCUUCCCCAUAUGUCCUCACAUGGCACAGAGCUGAGCACAAGAGCAAGCUCCUGUGUCUCCUUCUGUAAGAGCACUAAUCGCAUUUAUGUGGGCCCCACCUUCAUAACCCAGUUACCUCCCAAAGUCCCCACCCCCUAAUACCAUCACACUGGGGACUAGAAGGGGAGACUUUGGGAGGUAAUAGGGUUAUGAAUUUAUGAAUAUAUAUGAAUUUGGAGGGACACAAACAGUCCCUAGCACUUGGCAAUCGACCAUAAACUUGGAAAGGGCAGGAACCACGUGUGUCCAAUUUACUGUUUCUCUCCCUAGUACUUAGUGCCUGACACUUAGUAGGUGCCUCUGAGCCCAAACAGAGGGAAACAAACAAGUUCACCUCGGGAGAAUUGGGAAUUUAGCUCCCCUAGCCUAGGAAUUAGUGGGGUUUUCCAUUAUGUUAAAGGUUAAAUGUUCCAUUCUCCACUAUGGGGACUGUACUGUUCCCUGAGAUCCAGGUUUCCUCGAGCCCCACUCUUCUAAUGAUUAUAAAGUUGCUAAGGGUGCUGAGUUUGCCCUCCAGCCAGCAGGGUCUUUUUUGAACUGUGAAACAAUCAAUUCUUCUCAAAUGCACAAAGUACACUUAAAUGUCUACAAUUACAGUUGCAUUUUCUAAAAGGACACUAAUUAUCUUUAAUUCAUGGAUUAUACUUACUGCCUGGGAGCAAGGAACUAAAAAGCACCUUGCAUUUGUGGGGAGGCGUUCUGCUUCUUUGCCUCCCAGUGGGUCUUACUGGAGUUAUUUCUAGUCACCCUUCAAGUUCCAGCUCCCAUCAUGCCCCGCUAUGGGAGGUCAUUUACCCUGAUCUCUAGGAAAUUAAAGAGAGGGAUGAAAACAUUUGACUAGUGCAGGUUAAGUCUCAGAAAACAUCAGUGUCUUAUUUCAGCGUCUGGUCUUGUAGGUUAAGAAACAUGACUUUUUAUUACAUCUGUGGCUGGUCUGGUUACUCACUUAUGCAAGUCAGACUCAUAAGAGAGUGAAUCAGCACCAGAGAGUGGACUAUUUUUACUUGGUAUGAGGAGUUUGCAUUUCCAGAAUUUGGAAUUUUGGAAGUUGUGAUUCAGGGCAUUUCUGUCCUCAUAUCCCAGAAGGUCAAAGAACAUUAGAUCCUCUCUCUCUCUCUUUUUCUUAGAGAUGGGGUCGCACCCUGUUAACAGCCUGGGCUGGUUUCAAACUCUUGGGCUCAAGCGAUCCUCCUGCUUCAGCCUCCCAAACUUCUGGGACUACAGGCAUGUGGCACCGUGCCCAGUCGUCUCUUGGGGAACGUUUUAUGCUAGCUGUACACUGAUAAAGCAGAGAGAACAUGGAUUACUAUUCCCUCUUUGUAAAGAGACUGAGGUUUUACCUGAAUGUCAUGAUUUAUUGGGCCUUGGAGUCCUUAUUUACAAUUUAGGAGGCUGGAGUAAGUCAGAGUUAAGUUUAAUUUACUGUAUUCCUAAUAAUCCAAUUUAAAUGGAUGCAUCACGUAAGAAUUUUCACUGAAAAUGGUCGUAAUUUAAGUUAGUAAAGCCUUAACCUGUUCAUGGUUGGGGCUCAAAUUUGGACCUAGUGCAUGGGUCCAAACUUCAAUCUCAACUUUUUUCCUUUGUCAUUGUCUCAGCCAGGGUUCCAAGUGGAGUGUUGCUACUCACAGCUCACAGCUCACAGCUGCUCCAGAGUCCAAGAUAGGGAUUUGGGAACAUGUAAUUCAUUGAGGGAGUGCUCUUUAGGGAGAACUGGUUAGAGAGGGAGAAGGAGCCAAUCAGGGAUGUGGUCUCAGGAAAAGUCCAAUCUUGGCCCGAUCCACAAGGGAAGAGGUGCAGAAACAGAAACUGCAUUGAUGAAUGUCCCCCAGUGCAGGAGGGGGACAAGGCUUUUGAAUCCCCCUAUCAGUCAGUCAUGGCUAUGGGUGAGGGAGGGGACGGUGCCUGUAACUUACUGUGUCUAUCACUCUCACCUACCUGCCUCUACUCUGCUGUACUUGGCUUUGCUCAAUUACUGACUGUUACUUGAUGUUUUUCAAGUUUAAAUCCUUUAGAAGAGCACUGUGAAAUCCUGCAUGCAAAAAAACAUGUAUUGAGUACAUUUAUUGAGGAGGUGGCUCUGAUUAGCUAAGAGCAGUUCUCCUGAGAAGGAGCAGCUGUGAGCUGUGAGCUGUGAGCAGCAACACUCCACUUGGAGCAGCUGGGGGCUGGGUGUGCUGACCUGGAGAAGGGGGCCCAGGUGUAGCACCGCAGCAUCUAUGAGGGUCACCAAUCCUGUGUACCAUCCCUCUCACCGCUGGGCAUUCCCGUACAUGCUCUUCUCUCUGUCUAGAACUUGCUUUCUUCCCUUUUUCUCAGAUAAAUCUUAUUCAUUUUAGACACCGCCUCCUCCAGGACACCUUUGCCAACCUUUCAUGACUAGACUCGACUCUCCUGUGUUUUUGCAUCUACGUGGCAUUCCAUAUUAGAGCUUAUCUGGGCCCAUCUUAACUGUGGGCUCCAGGAAGUCAGGGACCACAUCUGUCUUGGGUUCCUCUCUAUAUAACAGUCGGACUCAUUUCUGGCACUCAAUAAAUGCUUUUUGCAUACAGGAUUUCAUAAUGCUCUUCUAAAGGAUUCAGACUUGGGAAACAUGAAGUUACAAUCAGUAACUGAGCGAAGCCAGGUACAGCACAGUAGAGGCAGGUAGGAGAGAGUGAUACACACACUAUGCCCCUAUCAUCAUGAACUGUGAGUGAGUUUUCAGGGGAAAGUCGUGCUUGCAUUGAACAGCAUUGUUUUGCACUGAUGAACAGUGAAGCUUGUAACCGAUACUUCUCCUCUUUGCCUUGGAGGCUAGCAAGCUCAGAGCCCGAGCCCUUGAUUAGGUAAAGGGGGAGAAAUUUCUAAUUUUAAAUACGGGCACUUAAGUUCCUUUCAAAGAAAACACCUUGAAGGCUUCAAGGAAGUGAAGCCCCAGGGGUGUGGUCUCGACUUGAAGAAGCAAGUGAAAUAAGAGAUCAGUACAGGAAUUCAGGAGGGGAGGCAAACAGCCCAAGAGGAGUGGGCUGGGGACCAGAGAAGGGAGGACAGAUGCCAGAGCAACAUGGCCAGGGUCAACUGAAGAAGUUGAGUCACUGAGAAAUUCCCCAUGAGAUUAACAGCAAGGAUGCCAAGUAUUUUAAGUUGAUAGGGUCCUAAGCAUGAACCCCUUCUGUUGUCUUGAGGCUUUAGCAAAGGCUGCUACUUAUAUAUUUGAGGGCCAGGGGAAUUUUAGCAAAUGAAGGGAUCAGGAUGGGUCUGGUUAGGGGUCAUGUGCUGCAGAGAAGAAUCAGCCCAUGCUAGGAGUGAGUGAUUCACACACUGGAACACAGACCGAGUGGAAGGUCCACUCCAGGGGUCACCAGGAGAAAUACAAAUCACUGCCCCCGACAGUUCCCUGCAAGACGAGAGGAAAUUAUGGGCUGUAUGAAGGACGGGGUUUGAGCCAAUUUCACUUGAAUCUUAAAGGAUGGGAUUAACCCAAGUGGUCCUUUAGUUAGAACUCUAUUUUAACAAGCAUUGUUCUCUAAUUCAUAAAUCAUAAAACACUGGACUUCACAGAUAUGUAAUUCAACUUUUCAAUUUACAGUAGACUAAGGCACAGAAAGGCAAAGCUCCUUGCCCCCUUAGAGUCUCCAUAUCUUCACCUCUAAAAUAAAAGGAUUUGAUUGGUAAUUUUGUAA
rnacentral:lncRNA from 1 species